rnacentral:rRNA from 1 species
UGAGGAAUAUUGCGCAAUGGGGGCAACCCUGACGACGCAACGCCGCGUGAGUGAGGAAGGUUUUCGGAUUGUAAAGCUCUGUCGAGCGGAAAGAAAUGCUUGGUGGUUAAUACCCAUCAGGCUUGACGGUACCGCUAAAGGAAGCACCGGCUAACUCCGUGCCAGCAGCCGCGGUAAUACGGGGGGUGCAAGCGUUGUUCGGAAUCAUUGGGCGUAACGCGCGUGUAGGCGGCUUAACAAGUCAGAUGUGAAAUCCCUGGGCUUAACCCAG